UACGUAGGGUGCGAGCGUUAAUCGGAAUUACUGGGCGUAAAGCGUGCGCAGGCGGUUUCGCAAGUCAGAUGUGAAAGCCCCGGGCUCAACCUGGGAAUUGCAUUUGAAACUACGAGGCUAGAGUGUGUCAGAGGGGGGUAGAAUUCCACGUGUAGCAGUGAAAUGCGUAGAGAUGUGGAGGAAUACCGAUGGCGAAGGCAGCCCCCUGGGAUAACACUGACGCUCAUGCCCGAAAGCGUGGGGAGCAAACAGG
rnacentral:rRNA from 1 species